UCCCAUGUGGUCUAGUGGUUAGGAUCUGGCGCUCUCACCGCCAUGGCCCGGGUUCAAUUCCCGGCAUGGGAA
rnacentral:tRNA from 1 species